rnacentral:rRNA from 1 species
GAGUGGCGAACGGGUGAGUAACACGUGGGUAACCUGCCCAUCAGAAGGGGAUAACACUUGGAAACAGGUGCUAAUACCGUAUAACAAUCGAAACCGCAUGGUUUUGAUUUGAAAGGCGCUUUCGGGUGUCGCUGAUGGAUGGACCCGCGGUGCAUUAGCUAGUUGGUGAGGUAACGGCUCACCAAGGCCACGAUGCAUAGCCGACCUGAGAGGGUGAUCGGCCACAUUGGGACUGAGACACGGCCCAAACUCCUACGGGAGGCAGCAGUAGGGAAUCUUCGGCAAUGGACGAAAGUCUGACCGAGCAACGCCGCGUGAGUGAAGAAGGUUUUCGGAUCGUAAAACUCUGUUGUUAGAGAAGAACAAGGAUGAGAGUAACUGUUCAUCCCUUGACGGUAUCUAACCAGAAAGCCACGGCUAACU